GUGAAUCAUCAAAUCUUUGAACGCAAAUUGCACUCUCUUCGGAUAGUAUGCCUGUUUCAGGGUCAGCCUAAAAUAAAUCUACAUAGUUUCUUUUACGCUGUAUCUUUCUUCCGCCAUUGGGUCAACUUAAACCUUUGUGUUUAAGCCGCCUAACAUUUUCUUUACAAUUCCAAGAACGUCUCUAAGAUUUUAUUUUCUUAUACGUUUAAGGUAUCUAUCUUUAUUAGACCUUGCCGUUGCUUCGGAUCUCGUCCAUCACUAUUCCGUUAACUAUCCUCAGCCAG
rnacentral:misc_RNA from 1 species